UACGAAGGGUGCAAACGUUGCUCGGAAUCAUUGGGCGUAAAGCGCACGUAGGCGGCCUUCUAAGUCAGACGUGAAAUCCCUCGGCUCAACCGAGGAACUGCGUCUGAUACUGGAUGGCUUGAGUUUGGGAGAGGGAUGCGGAAUUCCAGGUGUAGCGGUGAAAUGCGUAGAUAUCUGGAGGAACACCGGUGGCGAAGGCGGCAUCCUGGACCAACACUGACGCUGAGUGAGCGAAAGCCAGGGGAGCAAACGGG
rnacentral:rRNA from 1 species